CCUUAGGGAAUAUGCUUCCUGCUCUUUAACUCCCUGCAAACUGGUAGUUUUUGGGGAUAAACCCUGAAAGUUCAGCUCUCCUUGCCUGUGGUGCCAAUGCUUCCUGCUCACACUGGCCUCACACCAGGUUAAUUCCACUGCUGUGGUGAUUUGCAUGAGUACAAGCACAAAAACCCUCAUGCAAGCUGGAAAGGCUUUACCAUUAUUUCCCCAACACUGAAAUAUGUGUCUGCAGUGUGGUGCUUUUUAGCACAGCAUCCACUCAGAUGGUGGGGAAUUCAUCACAGCCCAGGGUGAGUAAUUCCAAUGGCUCAUUACUCUUUCAAUUACAAACUGGCACUUUCUUUGCAGUCUGAAUUUGUCUAAUUUUGGUUCCAGCCACUGGAUAUUGAUAUGGCUUUGUCUGUUAGAUUAAAGAGAGUUCUGUUAUAUCUCAUCUUUAGUAAGUGCUCUUCAUCUUUAAUAAGAUACUUCUUGAUGUCCUUUUGAUAAACUGAAUUAUUAAGCACCUUCAGUAUCUCAGUGUGAGCAGCUCUGCUCCACCCCACAGCCCUCAGUCUGUACCUUCAUUUUCCUCCUGGAUUCCUGCUUGGAUACUGCUUGGUUGCCCACUAAGCCCAUCAUGCCACCAUGAGACCUCAGUGUAGAGCUGGCACAUCUGCCACAUCUGCAGGGGCACUAGAUGUGGACAUCUGCAUUUAGGUACCUGAAUCAAGCCCUGAAAUUCCAGAACAAGGAAAGAAGAUCCAUCUCCCCUAAACUGAACCACCAACAGGUACUUCAGAAAUCAUCCCAGCCUUUGUGCUGGGGUUUAGACAUAGGCCAGGAGCUCUCAAGGACAACCACCAGCCAUGUUCUACACCUGCAAGUCUACCUGGAGGGGACCUGAAUGGCACUGCCAGAUUUCUCAUGGCUCUUCAGAAUGCCUGGGUUUGGGAUGGCCCCCGUUCUGAUGGUGUUUCAGAGCUGUUCUACAGGACUGUGGCUGUUAGUUGUGUAAUUUGGAUUUAUAUACAGUGACUGAUCAUGUGCCAAGAGUUUUAUUAUGGACAACAAAUCCCAUUCAAUCAACAGCAGAGCCCAAACAGCCAUUGUUGAGCCCCAGUGCUUAGAACAGAGUUGGAUGACUCCAGGCACGCCAGAUGGGACCCACCACCCUCACUGUGCUCUGUGUGAGCAAUCAGCAUGUGGAGGGGCUGCAGACUCCCUCACCAGCUGUGCUGGGUGGAAGCUGGUUCCAGGCCCAGCUGCAGAGUUCUGCUGCCUGGAAUGGUUUGAGUGCAGGAGGUUGUGCAGUGUCCAGUGAGUCAGCCAAGGUGGGACCUGAUGGGAAGCCCUUGUCAGAGUGCAGCAGAGCAGAGAGCCUGGCUGGUCCACCAGACUUUUUAUGUGGGAACCCAGGGCACAGGGAACAUUGCUCUGUCUGCUCUGACUCCCAGAGAAACAGUGCCUUUAACCUGCACCCAUGGAGAGGGCUUCUGAGGCUUUGAGAUAGAUUAGAAUUUACCAAGGUGUGAAAUAGAUAAUAGAGGGUAGUACAGUAUGUCACUUGGGUGAGAAAUUUAGGUUUUGGGAUUUUUAGUAUGGUGUAGCCCCUGUCGUCAUCGCCAUCGUCUUCUUCUUCUCCUUC